rnacentral:lncRNA from 10 species
CUUCUAUUCCUUUCCUCUCACUCCUCUGAAUCAACUUGGAAAUGCUGCCUUUGGUGCAGUCCUCUGGCUGAGCCCAGGGUCAUGGCGCUCACUCAGCCCCAGGCGAUGCUCCGCAUGGUGGAGACUGGUCUUCCAGCUAACACCGCCAUUUUGGGAGCACUUAUGGCUGACGGGCAGGAGUCUGAAGGGGUUGGAAAGCUGAGGUUUGAUAUGAACCUUCUGCCAAGGCAGCUGCCGGAAUAAGGGCUGGGGAAUAUCCAGAUGGGGAGGUGAGCAUGGCAGGCCCCAAGCUCCAGACCGCUUCCAGCAGCCGCUGCAGCAAUCUCUCUCCUUCUGGAAAGUUUUACUGAGGACACAUGUGGCGUUUCUGCCUCUGCUCCCCACCCCCAAUGACAAGCGAAAACAAAGAAGAUAAAAAGGGAAAGCAAGAGAAAGAGGAAAAAAAAGGAAAGACAGCGAAAGAAGAAUCCCUUCCCUACUCUCUGCCAGUAACAUUGACUUUCUGGGUGGUUGUCGCCAUUGCUGCUUCUAGACCUUUUCUUCUCAUUGCUCUGAUAUUUCAAUCCCCCAGAGCAAGGUCUGGGGCAUCUUUCUCUGCAUCUUAAGGCAAGAUCCAGUAGACAGCCAGUGAGCAGAAAAUAACUUGAGAACAAAAAAGUAUGCUUUUAAAAUUUGUUUUCUGAGCAGACUGAUGAUCAGGUAAACACUGUAAGCGUUCAUGAGUGGGCAGAGAAACCAAAUUAGAGAAAACACUCCCUGCGCUCACCAUGGAUCUGUUCCCAACCUCCUCACCAAUUCCUCCCACCCUCAAAAUUAAUUUCUUCUCAACAGUCAGCCCAAAGGAAGAGCCUGAAGAUCUCAGGAAUGCGUGCUCUCAAAACAAGUUGUUUUUCAUCUGCGAACUGGGGACUUUUGCUUGAAAAACAACCAUCUACGGCAUAAACAUAGCAAUAGGACACGAGCAUGUUGGAUGGGCCCAUGAGGAGCUCUUCUUGAAGACAGCUACCUGGGGGAUGUGUGUGGUUGGUGGCUGCCCCUAAUCUGGCUUCACGUGGUGUCGUCCAGCCUGAGCUGUAAACACAGAUACACUAGGGACCAUGCCAGUGCAGUUCGCUCAAGUGCCAU